AUAUCAAUAAGCGGAGGAAAAGAAACCAACAGGGAUUGCCUCAGUAACGGCGAGUGAAGCGGCAAAAGCUCAAAUUUGAAAUCUAGCACCUUCGGUGUUCGAGUUGUAAUUUGAAGAUGGUAACCUUGGGUUUGGCUCUUGUCUAUGUUCCUUGGAACAGGACGUCAUAGAGGGUGAGAAUCCCGUCUGAUGAGAUGCCCAUUCCUAUGUAAGGUGCUAUCGAAGAGUCGAGUUGUUUGGGAAUGCAGCUCUAAGUGGGUGGUAAAUUCCAUCUAAAGCUAAAUAUUGGCGAGAGACCGAUAGCGAACAAGUACAGUGAUGGAAAGAUGAAAAGAACUUUGAAAAGAGAGUGAAAAAGUACGUGAAAUUGUUGAAAGGGAAGGGCAUUAGAUCAGACUUGGUGUUUUACGAUUAUCUUCUCUUCUUGAGUUGUGCACUCGUAUUUCACUGGGCCAGCAUCGAUUCGGAUGGCAAGAUAAUGGCAGUUGAAUGUGGCUUCACUUCGGUGGAGUGUUAUAGCUUCUGCUGAUAUUGCCUGUCUGGAUCGAGGGCUGCGUCUUUUGACUAGGAUGCUGGCGUAAUGAUCUAAUGCCGCCCGUCUUG
rnacentral:rRNA from 1 species